GACCACCUGCCCGACAUGUCUACGCAGGUGGUUGACCAGUUUCCCCUUUCCUCUGUUACGUUCCGAUGUUAGCAGGUAGUUGUGUUUAAUGUAGAGCUGUCUGACGACGAUUUUCCAACCCACCUGCCCGAUUUGUGUACACAGGUGGUUGGCCAGUUUCCCUGUUCCUAGUUGCCUUUAGAUGUAUGCAUGUACAUGUGCUAGGUAGAUAGUUCUUCGACCAAGAUUUUGUCAGCCACCUGCCCGACAUGUCUACACAGGUGGUUGACCAGUUUCCCUGUUCCUAGUUGCCUUUGGAUGUUUGCGUGUCCAUGUGUUUUGUAGAUAGUUUUUCGACCAAGACUUCGUCGACCACCUGCCCGACAUGUCUACACAGGUGGUUGGCUAGUUUCUCCCAUCCUCCGUUUCCUUUCGAUGUUUGCAGGUAGUUGCAUUUAAUGUAGAGCUGUCUGACGACGAUUUUCCAACCCACCUGCCCGAUUUGUCUACACAGGUGGUUGGCUAGUUUCCCUGUUCCUGGUUGCCUUUAGAUGUAUGCGUGUACAUGUGCUGGGUAGAUAGUUCUUCGAUCAAGAUUUGGUCAGCCACCUACUCGACAUGUCUACAUAGGUGGUUGACCAGUUUCCCUGUUCCUAAUUGCCUUUUGAUGUUUGAAUGCAAAUGUGCUUGGUAGAUAGUUUUUCGACCAAGACUUCGUCGACCACCUGCCCGACAUGUCUACACAGGUGGUUGGCUAGUUUCCCCCAUCCUCUGUUUCCUUCCAAUGUUUGCAGGUAGUUGUGUUUAUUGUAGAGCUGUCUGACGACGAUUUUUCAACCCUCCUACCCGAUUUGUGUACACAAGUGGUUGACCAGUUUCCCUGUUCCUAGUUACCUUUAGAUGUAUGCAUGUACAUGUGCUAGGUAGAUAGUUCUUCGACCAAGAUUUCGUCAGCCACCUCCCCGACAUGUCUACACAGGUGAUUGACCAGUUUCCCUGUUCCUAGUUGCCUUUGGAUGUUUGCAUGUACAUGUGUUUGGUAGAUAGUUUUUUGACCAAGACUUCGUCGACCACCUGCCCGACAUGUCUACACAGGUGGUUGGCUAGUUUCCCCCAUCCUCUGUUUCCUUUUGAUGUUUGCAGGUAGUUGUAUUUAAUGUAGAGCUGUCUGACGACGAUUUUCCAACCCACAUACCCGAUUUGUCUACACAGGUGGUUGGCCAGUUUCCCUGUUCCUACUUGCCUUUAGAUGUAUGCAUGUACAUGUGGUAGGUAGAUAGUUCUUCGACCAAGUUUUCAUCAGCCACCUGCCCGACAUGUCUACACAGGUGGUUGACUAGUUUCCCUGUUCCUAGUUGCCUUUGGAUGUUUGUAUGUACAUGUGCUUUGUAGAUAGUUCUUCGACCAAGAUUUCGUCCGCCACUUGCCCGACAUGUCUGCACAUGUGGUUAGCCAGUUUCUCCCAUCCUCUUUUAACUUCCGAUGUUUGCAUGUAGUUGUGCUUAAUGUAGAGCCAUCAGACGAGGUUUUCGCUGACGACCUGCCCAAUUUGUCUACACAUGUGGUUUGCCAGUUUUCCUGUUCCUAGUUGCCUUUAAAAGUUCGCAUGUACAUGUGCUUAGUAGAUAGUUCUUCGACCAAGAUUUCGUCAGCCACCUGCCCGACAUGUCUAUAUAGGUGGUUGACCAGUUUCCCCUUUCCAAUGUUACCUUCCGAUGUUUGCAGGUAGUUGUGUUUGAUGUAGAGUUGUCUGACGAGGAAUUCCCUUCCCCCCUGCCCUAUUUGUCUGCACAGGUGGUUGGCAAGUUUCCCUAUUCCUAGUUGCCUUUAGAUGUUUGCAUGCACAUGUGCUUAGUAGAUAGUUCUUCGAUCAAGAUUUCGUCACCCACCUG